rnacentral:rRNA from 1 species
AGUAACGGCGAGUGAAGCGGGAAAAGCUCAAAUUUAAAAUCUGGCAGUCUUUGGCUGUCCGAGUUGUAAUCUAGAGAAGCAUUAUCCGCGCUGGACCGUGUACAAGUCUCCUGGAAUGGAGCGUCAUAGAGGGUGAUAAUCCCGUCUUUGACACGGACUGCCAGGGCUUUUGUGAUGUGCUCUCAAAGAGUCGAGUUGUUUGGGA